AUUGAACGCUGGCGGCAUGCUUUACACAUGCAAGUCGGACGGCAGCGGGGUAGUGCUUGCACUACUGCCGGCGAGUGGCGAACGGGUGAGUAAUAUAUUGGAACGUACCGAGUAAUGGGGGAUAACCAAUCGAAAGAUUGGCUAAUACCGCAUACGCUCUGAGGAGGAAAGCAGGGGACCUUCGGGCCUUGCGUUAUUCGAGCGGCCAAUAUCUGAUUAGCUAGUUGGUGGGGUAAGGGCCUACCAAGGCGACGAUCAGUAGCGGGUCUGAGAGGAUGAUCCGCCACACUGGGACUGAGACGCGGCCCAGACUCCUACGGGAGGCAGCAGUGGGGAAUUUUGGACAAUGGGCGCAAGCCUGAUCCAGCCAUGCCGCGUGUCUGAAGAAGGCCUUCGGGUUGUAAAGGACUUUUGUUAGGGAAGAAAAAGGAGCGGUUAAUACCCGUUUCUGCUGACGGUACCUAAAGAAUAAGCACCGGCUAACUACGUG
rnacentral:rRNA from 1 species